GUACACACCGCCCGUCACACCAUGAGAGUUGGGAAUACCCGAAGCCUGUGAGCUAACUUAUAGAGGCAGCAGUCGAAGGUAGAAUCAAUGAUUGGGGUGAAGUCGUAACAAGGUACC
rnacentral:rRNA from 1 species